rnacentral:rRNA from 1 species
AUUGAACGCUGGCGGCAGGCCUAACACAUGCAAGUCGAGCGAGCGGCGGACGGGUGAGUAAUGUCUGGGAAACUGCCUGAUGGAGGGGGAUAACUACUGGAAACGGUAGCUAAUACCGCAUACCAUCAGAUGUGCCCAGGUGGGAUUAGCUAGUAGGUGGGGUAACGGGUGACCUAGGCGACGUUCCCUAGCUGGUCUGAGAGGAGGACCAGCUACACUGGAACUGAUACACUGUCCAGACUCCUACGGGAGGCAGCAGUGGGGAAUAUUGCACAAUGGGCGCAAGCCUGAUGCAGCCAUGCCGGGUGUGUGAAGGGGGCCUUCGAGUUGUAAAGCACUUACAGCGUGGAGGCGUUACCCGCAGAAGAAGCACCGGCUAACUCCGUGCCAGCAGCCGCGGUAAUAC